rnacentral:tRNA from 1 species
UCAGGAUGCUGAACAUUCUAAGCUCCAUUUCUUUGAAUGGCUAAGGUUUCUGUGUAGUUAAGGUGAGUUCAUUACUGUAUUUUAAAUGCAAACGGUAUGAAAUACGCGUAGUGAAUAUUGUUCCCCAACUUCCCCUUGAACUCGAGUUGUGACAGCUAUACCACCACACAAGGUAUAUAUACGCAGGGUGUAUAAAAAAACGCACUACAGUUCUAAAAUGUCCACUAAACUGAAAAUUGCGCAAAAUUUUACAACUUCGUGUUAAUAUGGGUAGGUUGGGAUCUUCUGGUAUCUCUAUCACAAAAAUUAUUCUGAAAAGUAAAUUUUCGAGUGUAGCAGGACUGUUUUUUUUUUAAAACCACUUUAACGGGUUUGAAACGCAACUUGAAUUUCAUAGGGUGCGACAAUUGUCUGGUACAUUUUUCGACUAUAUAAGCCGAGUAUAUUUAUACCAACGACACUUAUAAACAUAGUGAAUACAAGGGCGUUGUGAAAACCCGGAAUAUCACGGAAUAUUACCGCAUUUUCACGGAAUAUACCUGAACAUCACGAUAUUUUCCGAUGGUAGCCAUGCGACUGUUUAUAAACAUGGACGUCUGACAACAUAUUUUAUUACAAAAGUGAUGGAUCUUUCCCAAGUAACAAACAAUAACUCUAUACUGGAAGUGUAUGAAAUGUUGUUUAUAUCAUUAUUACUAGUGUUCACCAAAAAUUUUGAAUCAAUAUGAUUAAUUCCUCCUGAGUUACGGCGUCUUGAAAAAUAAAAGUGCUGACGUCCGCAUUAUUUUCGAACGCCUUCAGAACUGUGUUGGUAUAAAAUUGACCAUUUUAUACCACCAAGCAUUUAUCCAAAAAUCAAAUGCUAAAGUAAAGGCAAGUUUGAGCCACGAUGUUUAAAUUCUUGUUUAUAUCAGGUAAAAUUCGUACAUUCCCUCGUCUGUAACGAUUUAUAAUAAACAUUGAGUAACUAUAAAUUACAUACAUUUUUAUUUGUAAAUAAUGGUAAUAUCAUACUAGAAGUUCUAAAUUCUUCCUAUAUUAUAGUAUAUACGUUUUUGUAAAUAUACAAUAUUUUUCUAAUCAACCAACCCUGUAAAUGAUCUGCCUCGUACCCAGGCGCUUUAAAUAAUUACAAUACAUAAGUAUUCAGGUAGGUAGGCGACGCGCGAAGGGGCUAAUUGCACUCUUCCCAUCAGCCCCUUCGCCCAUCUAUCCCCACUACAAUACUUCAUGUAAACUCGUCCUAUGCGCAUCACUGUUUUUUUACAAAGAGACGCCUGGGUACGAGGCAGGUAAAUGAUAGAUGUAUUUUCAACCUUCUGGUUGCAAAGUCUAUAUUUUAUUAAUAAAUUCAAAUUAAAAAAAAUUCAAAUUAACCUUAACCAAUAAUUUUUAACUAAAUUUUGUGUAUAACACAGUUCUGAAGGCGUCCGAAAAUAAUGCUGACGUCAGCACUUUUAUUUUUCAAGACGCUGUAACUCAGGAGGAAUUAAUCAUAUUGAUUCAAAAUUUUUGGUGAACACUCGUAAUAAUGAUAUAAACAACAUAUAAAACUUCCAGUAUAGAGUUAUUGUUUUUUACUUACCGUCAAAAUGGGAAAGAUCCAUCACUUUUGUAAUAAAAUAUGCUGUCAGACGUCCAUGUUUAUAAACAAGUAAGUAUAGCCUUUGAUCGACAACGUUUACAACAGCUUCACUUGCUUUGGCGAAUCUUUGGGGUUUUUAUACAUUUGAAAACAUGGCACAAGAACAUCUGAGAAAUGUUUGAGGUGUUACUCUGAGUUUGCCUAACCACGGUGGGAAUCGAACCCGCGACCUUUGGGAUACUAGUCCAAUGCUCUACCAACUGAGCUACGAGGUCAAGUCGGUUCGAGUUGGUGAUAUUUCGGAACUGAGCUUAGUUCCUAAUCUUAGAAUAUCUUUGAUAACGAAGGAACUAAACUCAGUUCCGAAGUAUCACAAACUCGAACCUAGCGUAGCUCGGUUUGUAGAGCAUUGGACUAGUAUCCCAAAGAUUGCGGGUUCGAUUCCCACCGUGGUCAGGUGUGGAUGCACACUCAGAACAAACACAAAAAGUAUCUGAGAAAUAUUUUAUAAAUUGAUAUUUGUUGUUUUAAGUCUUGUGAUUAAAUACAGUCUUAUUUAUACAAGCAAUUUCUGCUCUAUAUAUAGGAGAGAUCAAUAUAUGGUUGCAUUGGAAAAUGAGAAGGUAAAUCGCCUGCUUUGGUCCAUUAGGAUUGAACUCAAGAUAUGGUCUUGCACAAUGGGACGACUGGCAACAUGAUAAACCUGCGGAGACAACUUCAAAAACAGCCGAGAAAUCGACGUUUUUAUAGCUGUGAUGAAUCGACUUGACCCAACAUAUAUGAAGAUUACAUUCUGCCGAACGACCAUAUCUAUGGGAUGUGUGUGGUAAAGAUUUUGCAUCGACUAACAAGUUGAAAACGGCAUGAAAAAAUCCACCGAAAAACGUCCUCUGAAUGUUCAAACUGAAAUCCGAUCGAAAAGUGUGUUUAAGUGAGAUAUGCAGCGCUAUAAUAUUGUAUAUAGUAUUAUCAAUUGCAUUGUCUAUUUUUUUCAAGGAUAAUCUCAACAGGCAUUUGAAUAUGCAUGAACGAAGAGGGAUCGAACCCAAACAUACCUGUAACGUUUGUGCUGAGACUUUCCGUAACAUUUUCCGCCUUCAAACCCAUCAACGAUAUCCAUCAAGUCGGUAGUGGAACCAAGCAUAAACUCGCAAGUGCUAACAACGAGGAGAGCGAAACGAACGAAGAUUGCCGAACUAACUUCUUCACCCGUAAAUGAAGGUAGGUAUGGAAAUAGUCUAUUUGAUGAUUUAAUAUUUAAUUAAUUUCUCUUUGAAAGAGCCUCGACAACCACCGCCGUAAACGAAGGAACUUCUGUAUCUGCUGCUAGCGCUGCUGUCAGCGAAGCUACUCAAACUUUUCCCCAAGAUCCGACUACAUUACCGAGUAAGCUAUCUCCACUACACCGAGAGCACUGGCGCGCAAUGCGCACUCGACAAAGUCAUGGCAACAGAGUACAAGAUUGGUACAAUUAUGGCUAAAUUCUACGGAUAUGAGUCAACUUGUGCAAUACGUCGAAGAUAUAUUUCGGGAUGAAUCAACCUUGUUCCGGCUGAAUUUACCGUGUGGUUCAUUUUGUUCAACAAUGAGAGGGAAUAUCUCCGGUACCACCAUCAUUCGUCAGAGGUCAGAAACUUUGGGGAUUUCGAACAAUUUCGCGAGGUACUGCAAAGCCUGGAUGUUUUCGAAUGGGCAAGACAACAAUGUCCCAACUCAAAAUGGGUCGUCAAGGACAUAACCAACGCUGCAUUCUACGUAACAAGACUACGUGGACACCCCAUAGGACGUCGUGUGCGUUUACCUGUAUUUGUGUUUGAAAAUCGUGCUGUUGUGUCGCUAGACUGUAAAGGCCCAAAGCGGAAGCAAUCAAAUAUGCAGGCAUUUGGUCGAUUUCUUUUGGAUCUUAACUGGAAUGUACUUUCGCAGCUACCCGAUUGUCAAAAAAUGUGUGACUUGUUUUAUGACAUUAUUCUCAUGGGUUUGGAUACAAUUUUUCCCCAAAAAUCUGUUAAACUCCACUGUAGAGACAAAGCGUGG